rnacentral:rRNA from 1 species
CCUACGGGUGGCAGCAGUGAGGAAUAUUGGUCAAUGGACGAGAGUCUGAACCAGCCAAGUAGCGUGAAGGAUGACUGCCCUAUGGGUUGUAAACUUCUUUUAUAAAGGAAUAAAACGAGGCACGUGUGCCUUUUUGCAUGUACUUUAUGAAUAAGGAUCGGCUAACUCCGUGCCAGCAGCCGCGGUAAUACGGAGGAUCCGAGCGUUAUCCGGAUUUAUUGGGUUUAAAGGGAGCGUAGAUGGGUUGUUAAGUCAGUUGUGAAAGUUUGCGGCUCAACCGUAAAAUUGCAAUUGAUACUGGCAGUCGUGAGUACAGUUGAGGUAGGCGGAAUUCGUGGUGUAGCGGUGAAAUGCUUAGAUAUCACGAAGAACCCCGAUUGCGAAGGCAGCUUACUAAACUGUGACUGACAUUGAUGCUCGAAAGUGUGGGUAUCAAACGGGAUUAGAUACCCGGGUAGUC